GUCUACCUCAAUAUGAUAUAGAAGUAAAAGUUAACCGUGGAAGAAUCUGGUGUGUCCUGUGUUUAUUUCCCGCGGGACGGGGAUAAGCUCGGGAUACUUGGUGCUGAAACCCGGGAAAAAACGCCUUAACAACGCAGGCACCUAGAGGAGACCCUCCGACCAACCGGAGCAGAUUUCAGAACCACGGUGGAUUUUGGAAUUCCGAGAGCAUGCUGAAUCCUUGAAACUGGUCUGAAGGAUUUGACGAAAAACUUGAGGCGCUACGUACAGCAGUGAUGACGAUUAAUUCUACACGAGUGGACCCAUCAUUGAUCGAUGGAAUCAAAGGACUUUCUUCCUGGAUGUCCUCUGCAUUCUCACAUUUUAAAGAGUGGGUGGGAGUGGGCCUGUUUGGUGCAACCCUGUGUUGUGGACUAGUGUUUCUUCUAUGGCUGGUAUGCAAACUCAGAUCUCAACAGAAACGUGACAAGGUGGUAAUUGCUCAAGCACUUGCUGCCAUAGAGCAAGGCACCUCCCCUGAAAUUUGGCUAUCUAUUCUCAAGAAUUAGUUGGCAUUUGAAUUCUCUGUCUUUGCAUCCCACAAAAUUGUGGAUAUAUUGCAUUGAGAUGGGAGAAACUCAACGAUCAUUGAUCAGUCCGUGCACAUUGCUGAGGUUUCCUCAUUGCAUGUGAUAAGGUGAUCAUGAUUUCCCCACUAAUUCAUUUUUGGCUGGCCUCUUUUGUAGAGUUCACCCUAGGCCAUUUAGCAGUUAUAGUCACACAGCACUGUGGUAUCCAAAGACGGGCAACUUUCCUCAUGCACAGACCAACCUAAGACAAUGGGGCCCGGUGGUGAUAGGGUUACCCGAUAACGGGUAAGGCUGUGACAUUGGAGGAACGACCUAAAACAGGGGCCACAGCAGAUGGACGUAACUACAUAGGCCUAGACCAGCCUCAUUUUAAUAAAUUAUAGAGGGGGAGAUGUAAAGGGCUGCAAUCUACGUGCCGCCACUAGAUGGUGCUAAACCUCAUUGUGCGCAGCUGCGUGAGCACAGCCAGCCAAAGUCACCAGUCCAUCUCCGAGGCUUUUGCCCAACCCCUGGGGGCUUUAACCUAUCCCCAGGGUGCAUGAGGAUCAUGGGUGUUGCUACCAGUCCUAGUUUAGACACGUCACCAAAAGUAUUUAAGCCACACACUUUCUGAGCUUUCUUUGUCUACCUCAAUAUGAUAUAGAAGUAAAAGUUAACCGUGGAAGAA
rnacentral:lncRNA from 1 species